UACGUAGGUGGCAAGCGUUGUCCGGAAUUAUUGGGCGUAAAGCGCGCGCAGGCGGUCUUCUUAAGUCUGAUGUGAAAGCCCCCGGCUCAACCGGGGAGGGUCAUUGGAAACUGGGAGACUUGAGUGCAGAAGAGAAGAGUGGAAUUCCACGUGUAGCGGUGAAAUGACGUAGAGAUGUGGAGGAACACCAGUGGCGAAGGCGACUCUUUGGUCUGUAACUGACGCUG
rnacentral:rRNA from 1 species